rnacentral:rRNA from 1 species
AACAGGAUUAGAUACCCUGGUAGUCCACGCUGUAAACGAUGUCGACUUGGAGGUUGUGCCCUUGAGGCGUGGCUUCCGGAGCUAACGCGUUAAGUCGACCGCCUGGGGAGUACGGCCGCAAGGUUAAAACUCAAAUGAAUUGACGGGGGCCCGCACAAGCGGUGGAGCAUGUGGUUUAAUUCGAUGCAACGCGAAGAACCUUACCUACUCUUGACAUCCAGAGAAUUUGCUAGAGAUAGCUUAGUGCCUUCGGGAACUCUGAGACAGGUGCUGCAUGGCUGUCGUCAGCUCGUGUUGUGAAAUGUUGGGUUAAGUCCCGCAACGAGCGCAACCCUUAUCCUUUGUUGCCAGCACGUAAUGGUGGGAACUCAAAGGAGACUGCCGGUGAUAAACCGGAGGAAGGUGGGGAUGACGUCAAGUCAUCAUGGCCCUUACGAGUAGGGCUACACACGUGCUACAAUGGCGCAUACGAAGAGAAGCGACCUCGCGAGAGCAAGCGGACCUCAUAAAGUGCGUCGUAGUCCGGAUUGGAGUCUGCAACUCGACUCCAUGAAGUCGGAAUCGCUAGUAAUCGUGGAUCAGAAUGCCACGGUGAAUACGUUCCCGGGCCUUGUACACACCGCCCGUCACACCAUGGGAGUGGGUUGCAAAAGAAGUAGGUAGCUUAACCUUCGGGAGGGCGCUUACCACUUUGUGAUUCAUGACUGGGGUGAAGUCGUAACAAGGUAACC